UUUGUCCUUCAAACCGGAGCAGGCAGGAAGCAUAAUGGAAACCAUGGCAACGAGACAGGCAACAGACAGCGCUCCUUGAGCUCGGCGAGGAUGGAUGGAUGGACGGACGCGCGUGCAGAUAGCGCUUUGUGAGAGCAUGACUGCAUGAAGUGAAACGGGAAGAUGGGCAACACAAAUAAGACGAGACGCCGGUUCAGCACGUCCGCGCGCAUGUUUGAAAGAUACAGCUCGCACGCGCGCGAGGAGGUGCUUCCUUCAAAAGGCGCCGGGUUAUUUCACUGACUAACAUAUCAAAGUUAAUGUUUCGCCGUGUUCAGCCCACAGGCCUCGGCUGAACCCGGACCAGUGACACGUUGGCAUCCGUGCCCGGCUGCUUUAAGGGUUCCUCUGAUGUUACGCUGGUUCUCCUGCGCUUCCAGCUGGAGUUAUAGCAUCGCACUUAACGCAAACAAACGGAGGGUUUAAGGUGGAAUUAUUCUAAUUUAUUCCAGGCUUAAUCCCGCGUAAAAACCCUGGUAUGUGCAGCGGAGGAAAUCGUCUCAGCGAGUGACAAAUUGAGGAGUGAAAUACAAAUGUGCCUCUAGACAGCAAACAGAGAGUGUUUUAUCCAGAGAGACAGACGAAGCCUAUAAUUCUUGCUUCACUUCAAGGCGGCAGGUGUGGAGCGCUCUCCUCACACAGGGAUCAAGGAGUCUUUUACUUUGCGCAAAACAGAUGAAUCGCAGCUGCAGUGACCCCUGGUGCCCAGAAGGGAGAUUACAAGACUUGAGUCUUGUGCGGCGUUCUGGGACAUGUCUGACCUCACUCAGCUGUUUCUGCAGCCACUGUCCCAGCACCGCCAGGCUGUCCCGAGGACACACGGCCCAGAUGGCUGUCAGCACAAUAAGGGACAGCAGGUCUACAACAUGAGACAGACUGGCUUGUUCUGCCUGGGGAGGGAGGAGAGGCAGAGAGGUUUAAAGGUUUCAACAGCCAAUCCAAUGAUGUACACCUACUGGACAAGACUGAGCCCCAUCAAUGCUCAUUCCCUUCAUCUAAUUAAAGUUUCCUUCAAGCAUUUCCUCCGAGGACGUUUAAAAUCUUGAAAUAACUUCAUUAGACACAUUUUAGAACAAGAAGAAUGGGUUUUUGUAGCUGGAGUGAACACAGCCAUCUGUGGAGAAUUAAUAAAGCAUGACAGUGCCCUAGGUCGACAGGACAGACAGGACUGGAUCGCUUUUGGAGGUAACUGUCAGUGAGACUUUAUCGCUGGCUGAUGCAACAACAGUGCAACCGAUGCCACCUUAGCCAAUACGAUACUUCUGAGACAGAGCAGAGGACUGAUGAUGAAUAGUCAGGUCUCUCUGCGUACAAUGCAGAUGUCUACAUGAGGUCUACAUGGAUAUUUUUACAACCUUGUGUGGGAGAGACCUACAGUAGAGGUACGUUUGCCUCUCAGAACUGAGCUUACUGUAAAUCUAUUAAUCUUCAGCAAGUUAAACCGGUUUCAUUACUCUCCACAUUAAACACUGACACCACAGUCACGAUCCUCCUGCAGUGAGCUAUGUACUCACAGAAUGGGCCAGUAUAGCAUGAGCCAUUUCGUGUCCCAGGAUGACAGUGAGCUGGUGAAUAUCUGCCACGGCAUCCAGCAUCCCCGUAAACACAAAGACUUUCCCAUUCUACGGGGAGGAAAACACAUCCAAUUCUGAGCCACAUUUCAGCUGAAAUAAAAUCCUCUGGCAAUUAAUUUGACACAAUGUGUCCUACUGUGGAGAGAUAAAUUAAUAUGUAAAUAAAUAUAAUAAAAAUAUGUAAAUACACAAACCAGUCUUCAUCGGU